rnacentral:rRNA from 1 species
CAAGAUAGGUAUUCCUCAUAGCUGGUGGACCCACGACAAAUGGAUCAUAAAGUCUUCAAAAAAGAAUAGAUACGAUUGCAAUCGAUGUAGUAACAUAUGCUUUCAUACUAGCACUAAUGCACCGGAUCCCAUCAGAACUCCGCAGUUAAGCGUGCUUGGGCGAGAGUAGUACGAGGAUGGGUGACCUUGAGGAAUGUCCUCGUAUUGCAUCCCUC